GAAUUCGCCCUUAGAGUUUGAUCCUGGCUCAGGACGAACGCUGGCGGCGUGCUUAACACAUGCAAGUCGAACGGGGCACCCUUGAAAGAGAUUUCGGUCAAUGGAUAGGAAUGCUUAGUGGCGGACGGGUGAGUAACGCGUGAGUAACCUGCCUUUCAGAGGGGGACAACAGUUGGAAACGACUGCUAAUACCGCAUAACAUAUAGGUGCCGCAUGGCGCUUAUAUCAAAGAUUUAUCGCUGAGAGAUGGACUCGCGUCUGAUUAGCUAGUUGGUGGGGUAACGGCCCACCAAGGCGACGAUCAGUAGCCGGACUGAGAGGUUGGCCGGCCACAUUGGGACUGAGAUACGGCCCAGACUCCUACGGGAGGCAGCAGUGGGGAAUAUUGGGCAAUGGGCGCAAGCCUGACCCAGCAACGCCGCGUGAAGGAAGAAGGCUUUCGGGUUGUAAACUUCUUUUGACAGGGAAGAGCAGAAGACGGUACCUGUCGAAUAAGCCACGGCUAACUACGUGCCAGCAGCCGCGGUAAUACGUAGGUGGCAAGCGUUGUCCGGAUUUACUGGGUGUAAAGGGCGUGUAGCCGGGCUUACAAGUCAGAUGUGAAAUCCGGGGGGCUCAACCCCCGAACUGCAUUUGAAACUGUAGGUCUUGAGUAUCGGAGAGGCAGGCGGAAUUCCUAGUGUAGCGGUGAAAUGCGUAGAUAUUAGGAGGAACACCAGUGGCGAAGGCGGCCUGCUGGACGACAACUGACGGUGAGGCGCGAAAGCGUGGGGAGCAAACAGGAUUAGAUACCCUGGUAGUCCACGCUGUAAACGAUGGAUACUAGGUGUGCGGGGACUGACCCCCUGCGUGCCGCAGCUAACGCAAUAAGUAUCCCACCUGGGGAGUACGAUCGCAAGGUUGAAACUCAAAGGAAUUGACGGGGGCCCGCACAAGCGGUGGACUAUGUGGUUUAAUUCGAUGCAACGCGAAGAACCUUACCAGGGCUUGACAUCCUACUAACGAGGUAGAGAUACGUUAGGUGCCCUUCGGGGAAAGUAGAGACAGGUGGUGCAUGGUUGUCGUCAGCUCGUGUCGUGAGAUGUUGGGUUAAGUCCCGCAACGAGCGCAACCCUUAUUGUUAGUUGCUACGCAAGAGCACUCUAGCGAGACUGCCGUUGACAAAACGGAGGAAGGUGGGGACGACGUCAAAUCAUCAUGCCCCUUAUGUCCUGGGCUACACACGUAAUACAAUGGCGGUAAACAGAGGGAUGCAAAACCGUGAGGUGGAGCGAACCCCUAAAAGCCGUCCCAGUUCAGAUCGCAGUCUGCAACCCGACUGCGUGAAGUCGGAAUCGCUAGUAAUCGCGGAUCAGCAUGCCGCGGUGAAUACGAAGCCGGGCCUUGCACACACCGCCCGUCA
rnacentral:rRNA from 1 species